CCGAAAUCAGCGAAAAGAGCACGAAGAUAGAAAUCUUCGCGCUAAAAUAGAACAAAAACAACCAACACAAAAGUAACAGUAAAAGUCUCCGGUAACUGGUACAUCACCUAAUCUGCCAACGCUACGGAAGUAAUCAACGCUAACAAGGACAAUAUGACACGCUUUCGACGAAUUGUGACGAUCCGUCAACAAGUUAUAAUGUACACCGCUGCACCACACCUAGGCGCUUCUGGAGAUUCGCCGUCACGGGCUUAUUUAUUAAUAUUUUUCAUUGAAAAUUUUUUCUAAUAUACUCAAAAGUUGUACAAUAACAUGUCAUUAAAACUAAUAAGAUUAUACUUCCUCAUGUCGCCGCAAAAAAUACAAAUA